GGAUCAACCUGGCAGGGGAGACUCCAUGAUCACCAUCUAGGUAGUUUUCUGAGCGUGAGGCCUAUCCCUUGCACUUGGGGCAGGCUAACUCCUGCAAGUUGCUCCAAAUGUGGGAAACUCAACUGCACAAUUUUAUGGUAAUGUGGACUGCUUUCUUGCUUUCUCCC
rnacentral:snRNA from 1 species